rnacentral:rRNA from 1 species
UACGGGGGGGACAAGCGUUGUUCGGAAUUACUGGGCGUAAAGGGCGCGUAGGCGGCCUGCUAAGUCGGACGUGAAAUCCCUCGGCUCAACCGGGGAACUGCGUCCGAUACUGGCAGGCUUGAAUCCGGGAGAGGGAUGCGGAAUUCCAGGUGUAGCGGUGAAAUGCGUAGAUAUCAGGAGGAACACCGGUGGCGAAGGCGGGUCUCUGGGCAGUAACUGACGCUGAGGAGCGAAAGCGUGGGGAGCGAACAGG